AUGUACCACUCGUAGCACUGUGGUUCCUCCGCGCCGUCCGCACCCACCUGGCGACUGCGCCGUCGUUUUGUUAGCC
rnacentral:sRNA from 1 species